UACGUAGGGUGCGAGCGUUGUCCGGAAUUACUGGGCGUAAAGAGCUCGUAGGUGGUUUGUCGCGUUGUUCGUGAAAACUCACAGCUUAACUGUGGGCGUGCGGGCGAUACGGGCAGACUGGAGUACUGCAGGGGAGACUGGAACUUCCUGGUGUAGCGGUGGAAUGCGCAGAUAUCAGGAGGAACACCGGUGGCGAAGGCGGGUCUCUGGGCAGUAACUGACGCUGAGGAGCGAAAGCCGUGGGGAGCGAACAGGA
rnacentral:rRNA from 1 species